UGGGGAAUUUUGGACAAUGGGCGAAAGCCUGAUCCAGCAAUGACCGCGUGUGUGAAGAAGGCCUUCGGGUUGUAAAGCACUUUUGUCCGGAAAGAAAUCCUUGGCUCUAAUACAGUCGGGGGAUGACGGUACCGGAAGAAUAAGCACCGGCUAACUACGUGCCAGCAGCCGCGGUAAUACGUAGGGUGCAAGCGUUAAUCGGAAUUACUGGGCGUAAAGCGUGCGCAGGCGGUUUGCUAAGACCGAUGUGAAAUCCCCGGGCUCAACCUGGGAACUGCAUUGGUGACUGGCAGGCUAGAGUAUGGCAGAGGGGGGUAGAAUUCCACGUGUAGCAGUGAAAUGCGUAGAGAUGUGGAGGAAUACCGAUGGCGAAGGCAGCCCCCUGGGCCAAUACUGACGCUCAUGCACGAAAGCGUGGGGAGCAAACAGGAUUAGAUACCCUGGUAGUCCACGCCCUAAACGAUGUCAACUAGUUGUUGGGGGAUUCAUUUCCUUAGUAACGUAGCUAACGCGUGAAGUUGACCGCCUGGGGAGUACGGUCGCAAGAUUAAAACUCAAAUGAAUUGACGGGGUCAUAGCUGUUUCCU
rnacentral:rRNA from 1 species